AAAAUACUUUAUUUAUUUUCAUGCUUUAUAUCAUGUUAUGCAUAUAUAACAUUUUAUGAGUAUAGGGCCAUUUAUAAUUAUAAGUUUUUGACUAUUGGAUGAAGAGAUGUGCGGUUAGGAUAAUAGUGAUUCCUGAUUAGGAUGAUAGUGAUUUUUUAGGAUUGAGUGGGUGGUUGGUUGAAUAGUAUGAUCUAACGGAUGAAAAUAAAUUUUUUUUUAAGAGAUAGAUAGCAUGCUACCUGCUUUGUUUAUUUUAUUUAGAAAUAAACUUAGCUGAAGUUGUGAAUCAAUUAGGAUUCGAAUUUGGGAUCUCAGGUACCAACCCCAAGCCCUUUGCCAUUUGUGCUAGGAACGAUCGAUUAACGGAUGAAAAUAGUUAAAGAGAUAGAUCUAAUGGCCGAAAACUUAUAAGUAUAGAAAUCUAUGCUCAUAAGAGUACAGUAGCCAGACUUUACAACAAUAAUCGUGUUGGCGGAGAAUGGACUUUAUUCGCAAUGGGAAUAGGCUAGCCCGCACAUUGGAGCAAGACGCGUAGCGCUAUAUGGUUCAUUUGCCAAACGACGCAUGUCGGAAAGAUGCGGUCACCAAUGAGGAUGAGAUAGUUUGCCGAAAGUCAGAAUGGUCGUCUCGGGUGAAGUUAUCGUCGGGUGAGAUGGUAACUAAAGGGUAGUAGAUUCUUUUUUCUUUUUCUUUUUUUUGAGAGAUAAAUAGCACGCUAUCCGCUUCGUUUAUUUCAUUUAGAAAUAAACUUAACUAGAAAUAUGAAUCAACUAGAAUUCGAGCUUGGAAUCUUGGAUACCAACUACCAAACCCUUCGUCACUUAUACUAGGGACGGUCGGUAAGGAUAGCAUAUUCUAUUGAUAU
rnacentral:lncRNA from 1 species